rnacentral:rRNA from 1 species
AGUGAACGCUGGCGGUAGCCUAACACAUGCAAGUCGAACGGCAGCACAGUAAGAGCUUGCUCUUACGGGUGGCGAGUGGCGGACGGGUGAGGAAUACAUCGGAAUCUACUUUUUCGUGGGGGAUAACGUAGGGAAACUUACGCUAAUACCGCAUACGACCUACGGGUGAAAGCAGGGGAUCUUCGGACCUUGCGCGAUUGAAUGAGCCGAUGUCGGAUUAGCUAGUUGGCGGGGUAAAGGCCCACCAAGGCGACGAUCCGUAGCUGGUCUGAGAGGAUGAUCAGCCACACUGGAACUGAGACACGGUCCAGACUCCUACGGGAGGCAGCAGUGGGGAAUAUUGGACAAUGGGCGCAAGCCUGAUCCAGCCAUACCGCGUGGGUGAAGAAGGCCUUCGGGUUGUAAAGCCCUUUUGUUGGGAAAGAAAAGCAGCAGGUUAAUACCCCGCUGUUCUGACGGUACCCAAAGAAUAAGCACCGGCUAACUUCGUG